AAAUAAGUAAGCUAAUAAAGCUAAUGGGUUCAUACCCCAUCAAUAAAGGUUUAUUCCUUUCUUAUUUA
rnacentral:tRNA from 1 species